GCGGCCCCCGCAGACCCCCGCAGCCCCGCGCCCCGGGCGCCUGCGACCACAGCGGCCGCCCGGGGAGGAAGAGGAGGAGGAGGAGGAGGACGAGGGGGGAGGUGACAAACUCCGGCUCGGCGCGGCGGCAAGCAGCCCGCGGUCAGGCAUGCAGGCGCGGCGUCUAGCCAAGCGCUCCAGCCUGGGCAGCCGCCGGGGGAACGCCGCGCUGCAGCCGCCAGGCCCCGCGCCCGCCCGGGAAGGCGCGCUGCCCGGGCUCCCGCUUCCCGCCCCGGCCCCGGCCCCGGCCCCGGCGCCGGCCCCGGCCCCGGUCCCGGAGAGCUGGAGGCCGCCACUGCCGCCGCCGCGCAGCGCCGGGACCGGCCCCCCUCGGGCCGCCGGGGCCGCCGCCGCCGCCGCCUCGUCUCCGGUGCUGCUGCUUCUGGGGGAGGAAGACGAGGACGAAGAGGGCGGGAGCAGGCGGCGGAGGGGGCUCGGGCGGGUGCAGCCGAAGCCCCGAGGGGGCGCGGAGGAGGAGGAUGACGACGAGGAAGACGAGGACGAGGAGGUGGUCGUCGAGGUGGUGGACGGCGACGACGACGACGAGGACGGCGAGGAGCGCUUCGUGGCCCUCGGCCCCGGCCGCCAGCUCCCCAAGGGCCCGGGCCGGGGAGCAUUGAAGGUGGGGAGCAUUAAGCGGGAAAUGGCCUUCACAUUUCAACCAGAGGACUUAAAACGUGACUCUAGUAAAAAACUGUCUCAUCAACACUUGUUCCCCUUGGCCAUGGAGGAGGAUGUGAAAACAGCAGACACCAAAAAAGUCAACCGAGCCCUUGACCAUGAAAAAGAAAACACUCGCUCCAUCUGUCUCCUUGAACAAAAACGAAAAGUUGUUUCUUCCAAUAUUGACGUUCCUCCAGCAAGGAAAUCCUCAGAGGAACUGGACAUGGACAAGGUGACAGCAGCGAUGGUACUAACCAGCUUGUCCACCAGCCCUUUGGUUCGGAGCCCUCCUGUGCGGCAGAACGAGGGCCUGAGCGGAUCGUGGAAGGAGGGAGGCGGCGUGCCUUCCAGCACGAGCAGCAGCGGCUACUGGAGCUGGAGCGCCCCCAGCGACCAGUCCAACCCGUCCACGCCGUCGCCGCCGCUGUCCGCCGACAGCUUCAAGCCCUUCCGCAGCCCCGCGCCCCCGGACGAUGGCAUCGACGAGGCGGAGGCCAGCAACCUUCUCUUUGACGAGCCCAUUCCCAGGAAACGAAAGAACUCCAUGAAGGUGAUGUUCAAAUGCCUCUGGAAAAACUGUGGGAAGGUUCUGAGCACUGCAGUGGGUAUGCAGAAGCACAUCCGGACCAUUCAUCUUGGGCGUGUUGGGGAGUCUGACUACAGUGAUGGAGAAGAAGACUUUUACUACACUGAGAUCAAGCUCAACACAGACUCGGUGGCAGACGGACUGAGCAGCCUGGCCCCGGUUUCGCCCUCCCAGUCCCUGGCUUCGCCUCCUACUUUCCCCAUCCCAGAUUCCAGCAGAACAGAAACUCCUUGUGCCAAAACUGAGACAAAAUUGAUGACACCCUUGAGCCGCUCUGCUCCCACCACCCUCUACCUCGUGCACACCGACCACGCUUACCAGGCCACGCCCCCUGUGAACAUUCCAGGAUCGGCCAAGUUCACCCCCAACGGCAGCAGCUUCAGCAUUUCUUGGCAGUCUCCUCCAGUUACCUUCACAGGCAUUCCAGUGUCACCAACCCACAGUCACCCGGUGGGCACAGGAGAGCAGAGACAGCACACUCACACCGUCUUGUCCUCCCCACCCAGAGGGACGGUCAGCCUAAGGAAGCCCCGGGGAGAGGGCAAGAAGUGCCGGAAGGUGUACGGCAUGGAGAACCGUGACAUGUGGUGCACGGCCUGCCGCUGGAAGAAGGCCUGCCAGCGGUUCAUUGACUAAUGCACAGGCCCCUGAUCGUCGCCCAGACACUCCUGCCCUUGACUUGUGCUGAGGGUGUUGGAAAGCGCUUUUCCUUCUGAAUAAAACACACUUGAAACCCAGGGAAAGCACUUCCGGGAACCUUGGUGAAAUCACAGCAAAAAACAAAAAAAGGUCACCACCCUCACUGUUCUCGCUGAGAACCCAGCCGAGAGCAGCUGUAACUACUUUUUUCCUUAAAAAAUCAACUUUUUUUUUUUUUUGCUGUAUGUCUAGCUCUGAAAACUAUGGACUUCUGUAGCAGUCGAACCAACCAAGCCCAUUUUUCCUGGAAAGGAGGCCUAUUUUGAUAACCUUUCUGGAUAAUGCCGUUUCUGAGGUUUUUUGGUGUUUUUUUUUGACACUUAAAAAAAAAAGCUACAUGUUAUCCAGUAGCAUUUGUACAAAGAGCGAUACCUGUUUUCAUUGUGAAUAGUCUUUUGCCUGUUCUCCAUCGGACUUCUGGGAGCAGUACACAUCACGAUGUGUUGCCAGGAAACGGCAGCACUCUGGGUAUCUUUUCUAUGUCUUUUUUGUUUGUUUGUUUUGUUUUAAAGAAUGGCCCCAAACUGAACCACGGUAGAGCCGUUAGCUUGAAGGGCCCAGGAGGGCAUAAGCUUGAAAAGAGACUGACAAUGGACAUCACCAGCAGACUUCAGCCCCAGCUGAGUUCAGGACAUCCCGCUGUCACUGUUGGGAAACGUCUGGGAGUCUUCCUCGGAAGCCUUCCCUGAGGGGUGGCCUGGCCCACUCUCUCCCGGCCACAAUGCACUCAAGACCUGGCACGCAUUGCCAUCUGGGUAAGCCUCAAAGCUUCCUUCAGGGAUGCGACGCCAACCAUAGCUCGGAUCUCUUCAUCACUGCUUAUCUGACAGUUGUUGCCAGGUCAGUGGCUCAUCAGGCCUUCCUUCCCUCAAAACGCCACCGCUGACUGUUUUCAGAAAAGGUAGAGAACUCCAGGCCAUCCCGGCAGGCGUGCUUUAUUCACACAGCAGAGCACAGCCUCCACGUACCUAUGUGUUCAGAAAGUUAUGUGAGAACAAGUGCUUGAUUUUUCACAUGAAGAAUUCACAGACAGGCAAGUCUGAGAUCAGAAAGUCACUGUAUUCCCAAGAGUCGGGAAACAAGAAAGGCAGCCGUGGAGAGUUGAUUAACCAUACAAAUAAUUUUGAGCUUUGCCAAAACCAUUUCAUAAUGCUCUACAGUUUUUUCUAGCCCACUCACUGUUAAAGCAAGAAAGCAUCUUUUCUUUCUAAGAUUUUGGUAAUUCAAAAGCUAGACUAAUUAGUCAAGUAUGCAGAUAACAUCAAAAGAAAAGCUGGGAUAGAAUGGUCGUCCCCCCGUUGGGCAGCCCCUAUAAGGUGGUCAGAGGGUCACUCUGACUUUGCUUUCUAAUAGGCUUUAGAAUCUGCACACAUGAGGACUAGAAAUGCACGGAGUUAGGGGAAGAUGUAUACAGCUUCAUCUCUGAGAUGAAGCAGCCCAAAUCUCUAUCUUCAUUCUCUUGGAAUAUCUCUAAUGUUGGCAUUAAAAGUUCCCAAGAAGUGUUUAUUGCUGCAUGGUUUUGAACCAAAUGAGUCUUGCUUCCUAUUUAAAUAGAAGCUUCCUAAUCCUUUCUAAGCAGAUGCCUUGGAAAGAACAGGCAGAUUCUGUAAAUGAGCGAUUCAGAUCAGGCAGAAGAAGGACCCUAAAGAAUGACGGAGAUCAUGGUGAACCAGAGGAAACACACCCCCUCUAAAGGGGGAUCCCAGCUCUAGACAAUCAGAACCAUGCAGAAAUCAGGCCUGGGGCUGCUAGAUCUUCUGACUUGGAAGUAUAAUGUUACCUGACACUUAAGCUAAACUCAAAUUCUUGGCCAACCGUGUGCAGACCAAAGAGAACGUGUAUGUGGGCAGAUGCAGCCUUUGGCCACCAGUUUCAACUGUUGGGAAAAGCAGAUUUCACCUUCCAGAGCCAUCAGGCCAAGUUCUUCCAUCAGCCCUACAAACUCACCCAUGGGUACCAUCUGGGCAACUAAAAUCAAAGAAGGGAAAGAGGCCAGUUCUCCCCAGAAAUCAUUCUCAUGGAAGACUUGAAGAUAAAAAUACAAUAUCCUUAAACUAGCCUUGCCUCUGAUCAAAAUAUACUGAAACAUUAUUCAGCUGUCACUCUGCCUCCUGGCGUGCCCAGGCCAGGCCCCAAAGCAUGGAAUGACUGUAAUCCUAACUUGCUUACUGUUUUCACUGCCGUGACCACUGUGAUGAGGGCUGGCAAAGAACAGCCUUGUGCCUUUGGAGAAGGCAGCCAGGAGCCCCUGCAGUUUAAGAUAGCGCACAUUGCCUCCUUGUGCCAAAGCCCGUCGCCAACCCUUCCACACCCUCUCCCACUCCAUCCUGCCUCGUGAGUUUGCAUCCCAGGAUAAAAGUUCCUUUGUUUCACCUCUGACGUGGCAAAAUCCUUGCUUCAGAACUGGUAGGUACUUAGGUAUUUUAGAGUGUCCAGUAACCUCGAAAUGGAGUUUUUCCACGUAGAAAACCUUAACACCUUUCCCUGAGGGCGAAGACAAAAUGGGAAUAAAUGUGUCAUGGAAAAAAAUUAGACGUUGCUUCCUUCAUUUGGAUGAACUAAGUUAUUUUAGACUGUGUCUUACACCAGAGUCCUGACGGUGUUGGGAUAAUCACUAACCCUUUC